GAGGAAUUUUGGACAAUGGGGGCAACCCUGAUCCAGCCAUCCCGCGUGUGCGAUGAAGGCCUUCGGGUUGUAAAGCACUUUUGGCAGGGAAGAAACAGCCUGGGCUAAUAUCCCGGGCGACUGACGGUACCUGCAGAAUAAGCACCGGCUAACUACGUGCCAGCAGCCGCGGUAAUACGUAGGGUGCAAGCGUUAAUCGGAAUUACUGGGCGUAAAGCGUGCGCAGGCGGUUCGGAAAGAAAGGUGUGAAAUCCCAGGGCUUAACCUUGGAACUGCACUUUUAACUACCGGGCUAGAGUACGUCAGAGGGGGGUAGAAUUCCACGUGUAGCAGUGAAAUGCGUAGAGAUGUGGAGGAAUACCGAUGGCGAAGGCAGCCCCCUGGGAUGAUACUGACGCUCAUGCACGAAAGCGUGGGGAGCAAACA
rnacentral:rRNA from 1 species